rnacentral:RNase_P_RNA from 2 species
CGGGUCGGCCAGACGGUCGCGUCGCGCGCACGGUGCCUCUCGAAGGCGCCGGGCGCGUGCCGAGGAACGUCCGGGCUCCGCAGAGCAGGGUGGUGGGUAACACCCACCCGGAGCGAUCCGCGAGAAAGUGCAACAGAGAGCAGACCGCCACGUCGUCUUCGGACGGCGGGGUAAGGGUGAAACGGUGGUGUAAGAGACCACCAGGGGCCCGAGUGAUCGGGCUCGCUGGGUAAACCUCGCCCGGAGCAAGGUCAGACAGACACCGAUGAGGCUGCUCGCCGAGGUGUCGGGUAGACCGCUGGAGGGGUGCGGCAACGCAUCCCCGAGAGAGAUGGCCGUCCGGUCGGGCCGCGCCGCGAGGCGUGACCCCGGCUGACAGAACCCGGCGUAUCGGCCGGCCCGUUCG